AACGAACGCUGGCGGCAUGCCUAACACAUGCAAGUCGAACGACACCUUCGUGUCUAGUGGCUCACGGGUGCGUAACGCGUGGGACCCUGCCCUUAGGUUCGGCAUAACUCCCCUACAUGGGUGCUAAUACCGGAUAAUGUCUUCGAACCCAAGAUUGAUCGCCUUUGUGUGGGCCCGCGUUGUAUUAGCUACUUGGUAGGGUAAAAGCCUACCAAGGCUAAGAUCCAUAGCUGGUCUGAGGGGAUGAUCAGCCACACUGGGACAGGGACAAGUCCCAGACUCUGACGGGAGGGAGCAGGGGGGAAGAUGGGAUAAUGGGCGAAAGCAUGAGCCAGCAAUGCCGCGAGAGUGAUGAAGGCCUUAGGGUUGUAAAGCGCUUUUAACCGGGAUGAUAAUGACAGUACCGGGAGAAAAAGCCCCGGUGAACUCCGG
rnacentral:rRNA from 1 species